CAGGGCUAAGCUCUGGGAAAGAAGCAAGCCUGUGAGGGGCAGGCUCAGUUCCCACAGUUCCUGCACAGGGGAGCCAUUGUCUCCUGGAAGAGACAUGUCACACCCUUGGGUCAACAGCCAAAUGUGAAGGUCACUUGGAAAGGAGAGGGUAGAGCUGAGAGAGAGAAGGGGUGUGUGUGAGGGGAUCACCUCAGAGAGAAAGAGCCCGUGUGGUCAUAUGGUGUUUGGUUCCUCUGCUGCAGAUAUUUACUGUGUGAGAUUCUGCUGGGAUGAGGACGGCUGCAGCUGGGAACUCAGCUCCUCCCCUCCUGGACCAGGGCUGCAGGGAGAGACAAUGGACAGACACCUCACUGAGGGGGAGCACAGGGGAAGAGUCCAGGGCGCUCUGAAUGGUUCCUGGGAUGACCAGCCUGAAGCACCAAGCCCAGCUCGGUGUGUACGUAGGACACAAGGUUGCACUGCAUGACCCAGUCUGACUUCAAACUCUGAAUCCUGAGGUCCUCUGUGAACCCUGAGCACUGGGCUUGCAGGGGUGUCCCAUGACAUCACCUACAUCUUUCUACCAAGAAUAGACACUGGGGGGCUGGAAGGACGAUGGCUCAGCGGUUAACAGCACUGACUGCUCUUCUGGUGUGUCUGAAUAUAGCUAUGGUGUGUAAGUGUACUCAUAUAAAUAAAAAUAAGUAAAUCUUUAAAAAAAAUAGACACAGGGGACCUACUAGGAGGACCUUACAAGUGUCUUCCAUGCUUGAGGGUGGCCAGCUAGAUGACAGGGAAAGCAUAUGGGUGAAUGUGAAUAGAUCUGCGUUAUAUACAAAGUAUAUACUAGGACUGAGGUCAUAGCUCGCCAGUAGCAGGCCUGUCUAGCGUUUCAUUCCCUGAACUAUAAUACAACAGCAACAACAAUACUUAGAAGACAUGGUCUAUAGGCUGAACGGUUGAUGGUGGGUGAGGCAGGUGGGUAGUCAGAGGACAUUACAGUUGCCUGGCAUGGCAGUGGAAAUCAGACAGGACUUAUGGAGCCCCUUCAGUUUCAAGGAACUGUUCUAGGCUUUCUGGGAGCAAAUGCUGCUUAUCUGCCUUAGGAAAGCUGAUUAACCUCUCUGUGCUUUGGUGGAACGCCCAAGAAUACCCCGGAGGACUGCUGUGAGGGUUAACAUGUGCAGGAAGCUGGAUGUGAGGACUGGGAGAUCAGUUCUGAGGUGAGAGACUGAUAGUCACGGCUGGUGCUCAGGCCUGCUUCUUAGUGUCACCAGGGCUCCUAUUUCCUUACUGGUCUUUUCCUCCCCUUCCUCUUCCUCUUCUUCUUUUGGAGACAG